AUUGAACGCUGGCGGCAGGCCUAACACAUGCAAGUCGAACGGUAACAGGAAGACGCUUGCUUCUUUGCUGACGAGUGGAGGACGGGUGAGUAAUGUCUGGGAAACUGCCUGAUGGAGGGGGAUAACUACUGGAAACGGUAGCUAAUACCGCAUAACGUCGCAAGACCAAAGAGGGGGACCUUCGGGCCUCUUGCCAUCGGAUGUGCCCAGAUGGGAUUAGCUAGUAGGUGGGGUAACGGCUCACCUAGGCUACGAUCCCUAGCUGGUCUGAGAGGAUGACCAGGCACACUGGAACUGAGACACGGUCGAAGCUCCUACGGGAGGCAGCAGUGGGGAAUAUUGGACAAUGGGCGCAAGCCUGAUGCAGCAAUGCCGGGUGUAUGAAGAAGGACUUCGGGUUGUAAAGUACUUUCAGCGGGGAGGAAGGGAGUAAAGUUAAUACCUUUGCUCAUUGACGUUACCCGCAGAAGAAGCACCGGCUAACUCCGUG
rnacentral:rRNA from 1 species